rnacentral:rRNA from 1 species
UACGGAGGGUGCGAGCGUUGUCCGGAAUCAUUGGGCGUAAAGGGCGCGUAGGCGGCCUGAUAAGUAGGGGGUGAAAUCCUGCGGCUUAACCGCAGGGCUGCCUUCUAAACUGUCAGGCUUGAGCACAGUAGAGGCAGGUGGAAUUCCCGGUGUAGCGGUGGAAUGCGUAGAGAUCGGGAAGAACAUCAGUGGCGAAGGCGGCCUGCUGGGCUGUUGCUGACGCUGAGGCGCGACAGCGUGGGGAGCAAACAGG